rnacentral:lncRNA from 1 species
GGCAGGGCGAGGCGGCGGCGGAGGCGCCGACCACCCCCUACGUGGGGCUGCGGCGGCCGCUGGGCUACAAGCUGGCCAAGGCCACCAAGGAGCGGAUCUGGCGGGGGGAGUUCAUUGACCUCUUUUCCUUGCUCCACACAGAGCUGGCCCCCGAGCACGGCCCGCGCCCGGGGGACACGCUGGACCAGUGGGUCUCUGCCUUCCUGGUGUACGCCAGCGUGCUGUGCGAGAAGCACCCGGCGCGCUGCGGAGCCAUGUUCAAGUACCUGGACACCAUCCGCAAGCUGCACGCCACCUACGGGGGCACCUCCUGGAUGAACUACGACGAGGACUUUAGGCGGCGGGCGGCGAAGAACCCCUCUCUGCCCUGGGGUGACGUCGACCUGGACCUGUGGAUGAAGUGGAUGGCGCCGCUCAAGUCCCUUGUCCCCAGGCACUCGCGGGUUGAGGGCGAGACACAGCCCUCGCCGGCCCCGCCGCCCCCGCCGGCGCAGAGCCCCAAGCAGGAGGAGAAAAGCCAGACUCCAUGAAAACAGAAGGCCAGUUGGGAUGGCAGUCAGACUAAUUGGCCUGACUCCGUUGGUGUUUAAGUGGAGCUCUGGUAUUCUAGUGCAUUCUUUUACCUCUGCUUCUGUUGCGUUGCAAGCUGUGCUAGAGAAGACGUAGGAAAUUCAUUUUACCCAAUCAGCAAUUAUAACAAUGGACUACAAACCUGCAGAGCAAGCCAGUUUGCUGGAAAACAGGAAUUCCUGCAGCGCAGCACUUGUCACAGACUAUCCAAAGAGGGCAAAGAUUCAGGAAGGUGAAUAAAUUGAACCUUGGUUGAAUGAGGUCA